rnacentral:rRNA from 1 species
UACCAGCUCUCCGAGUGGUAGGGAUGAUUAUUGGGCUUAAAGCGUCCGUAGCCGGCUUAGCAAGUCUCCUGUUAAAUUCAGCGACCUAAUCGUUGAGCCGCGGGAGAUACUACUAGGCUAGGAGGCGGGAGAGGCCGACGGUAUUCUCGGGGUAGGGGUGAAAUCCUAUAAUCCCGGGAGGACCACCAGUGGCGAAGGCUGUCGGCUAGAACGCGCUCGACGGUGAGGGACGAAAGCUGGGGGAGCGAACCGG